AGGAAGUCCUGUCUUCAUGACCAGAGAAAUCCUAAGCUGAUUUCCCCCCCUCCUAUGCCACAGGGAAAAAAACAAAAAAGGCAAUCUUACGUAAGACACACAGACGGACAUCUUGCUUUUCAAAAGGGCAUAGCAGGGGAGAUAUGGAGCAGAACCAAACAGUGUUCCACAGAAAAGUAAACAGUAUGCAAGCUCUGCUGCCACCAUGGCAGGGCCCAGGGCCCAGGCUUCCCUGAGCAGCAGCAGCAUCAGCAGCAGGAGUAUCCCCGCAAUCCCAGCCCGCUUCAUGAGGCAGGCGUCUGAGGAAUUCAGCGUCGGGGGCAGGCAGCGCUGCAAGGGAGUAGUGUGAUCUAAGUCUUCCCCAUGUGGUGGUGCAACUGUUUCACAUGGAGCUCAGGCCCAGGCUUGGAGAGUCAUCACAGCUAGCGGAGAGCUGUGUCCUCUCUGGGUUGGUUUGUAUUUUGGUAGGGUCCAUGUGUCAGGCAAUCUGUUCACGUGUGUGGUGGGGGGCUUCAACCAAAAUUAGCUCGCCCGCUCACAAGAGAAGGACAUUUCAGCAUUAGUCAUUGAACUGUGUGUAAAGAAUAAAAUGUACAAAAAAACAAUUAUGUGUUCAUCUCAUAUUUACACAGUUAUGACAGAUGAGUUUCUGAUCUUUGGUAAUGUACAGUAUGUGAUGACAAGCCAUACUGUAUAAGUCAUACCACAUACGCCCCAAAAUUGACAUACUUUAUUUGUAAUCUAAUAGCAAAGGAAGCCCUUGAACAGAGAGAAUGACAGACAGACAGACAGA